AUGGUUCCAAGGGGCCAUACACAGGCAGAUGUUCCACCAAGAGAACCAGGGGAGGAGGACUCCCCAGGCCCUGGCCAGCAGCCUCGAGCAGGACCUGCCCUCCGAUUUUUGAAGUGCCAGAGCCCAGGAAGUCCACAGAGAAGUCCUCACUUGAAGACAGGAAGACACCAAGUGACCCUGUGUGGCAUGAGCAAGCUUUCCGAACACAAGAGGGGCAAGCUUGCUCCUGCCGGGGUGACCCCAGACCCCAGAGCUACAGCACCCCUGACCCUUGCACACGUGAUCCAGACCCAUCCCGUGGUGGUGGCAACGGCACUGUCGUGCAGAGCCCGAACCGUGAACUCAGAUGAUGGGGACGGUCAGACAGACAGCACAGUGGGCAGGAGCA
rnacentral:lncRNA from 1 species